rnacentral:rRNA from 1 species
GUCCUUAUGAAUUUAAUUUAAGGUUUGACCUGCCCACUGAAAUUAUUUAAAUGGCCGCAGUAAUUUGACUGUGCAAAGGUAGCAUAAUCAUUAGUUUUUUAAUUAAAAGCUUGUAUGAAGGGUUGGACGAGGUAAAUUCUGUCUCUAUUUAAUUUAAUAUAGAAUUUAAUUUUUAAGUUAAAAAGCUUAAAUUUUUUUAAAAGACGAGAAGACCCUAUAGAUCUUUAUAUAAUAAAAAUUAAUUUUAAUUAAGAAUAUUUUAUUUUUUAAUUUUUAUUUUAUUUUAUUGGGGUAAUAAAAAGAUUAAAUAAAUUCUUUUUUUUAUUUUAACAUUAAUUAAUGGUCACAUGAUCCAAUUUUAUUGAUUAAAAGAUUAAGUUACCUUAGGGAUAACAGCGUAAUUUUUUUAGAGAGUUCAUAUCGAUAAGAAAGUUUGCGACCUCGAUGUUGGAUUAAAAAUUAUCUUAGGUGCAGGAGUUUAAGAUUUUGGUCUGUUCGACCAUUAAAUUUUU